AAAGUCAAAUCUACCUACCGGCAGCAGACCUGCGGAGGACAAGCAAGGCAACAGAGCAGGAAGAUUCAGAUUUCAGACCAACAGCCUGAGAUCUGGUGAGAGGAAUCGGCGAGAAAUGGAGAAGCAGACCGGUCGAUCAAGAAAUCAGUAGAGCGGGAGAGUGAGAGGGUUAGAUCGAGAAGCGAGCAAGAUGAUGUCGCCAAGAAUUCAGAUUCCGAUAAGCAUCGGCGGGAGCAGGACGAUGAUGUCGCCGAAGCAGCUGCUGAUCACCAUCCUCGUCGUCUUCUCCACGCUCUCCUUCAUCAAGUUCCUCCUCAUCACCCACCCCUCCGCCGGCGCCUCCUCGACCGCUCAUCUCCACCGCGCGGAGUGGGAGUCCGGCAACGGCACCGCCGCCAGGAACGACGGCCUCGCCGCCAAAGAGUUCGCUUUGCUCCGCUCCGUCGUCGCCGCGCGCGCGCCGUGCAGGCUGCUGGUGUUCGGCCUCUCGCCGCAGCUCCUCGCGCUCGCCGCCGUCAACUCCGGGCCGGGCGCCGCCACCGCCUUCGUCACCGACAGUGCUGAGGAUGGGGACGCCGCGCGCCGCGUGCUCGCGGGCCGUGUCGGCGGCUCUUCGUGCGCCGUCCACCGGGCGGGGUACCCCGACGCGGCCGGGGAGGCGUGGGCGCUGCUGCGGCGCGCGCGGGCGGCGGGCCCGGCGUGCGCGCGGCCGACGGGGACGGUGCGCAAGUCCGGGUGCCGGCUGGCGCUGACCUCGCUGCCGCGGGAGGUGCUCGACGCCAGGUGGGACGUGGUCGUCGUCGACGGGCCGAGCGGGGCCGGACCGGAGGAGCCCGGCCGGAUGGGCGCCAUCUACACGGCCGCAGCACUCGCCCGGGCGGCCGCCGCGGCGGGCGGUGGCGGGGUGGUGGACGUGGCGGUGCACGACGUGGAUCGGACCGUGGAGCGCUGGUACGCCAGGGAGUACCUCUGCGAGGACAACCUCGUCGCCGCCAAAGGCCGCCUCUGGCACUUCCGUGUCGGCGCCGGCGGGCAACGGGACACCUUCUGCUCCACCGCUCCCGUCAAGAUCUUGUAGGGACAGAAUCAAAGGCUGCCAUUUCUGGGCAUCGCCGGAGGCACUGCCAUCGUAGGAGGUCAAUGCAUACAUACGAAUUGAUAGUCGAUGAAACCUCUGCUGAGACAUGUGCAAUUCUCGGAAAUUCCUCGAGCUCGAAGCUAGGUGCUGGGGCGAUUGGAUGUUCCAUGCUCAUAUAGAUAAUGGCGUUAGGAAUUUAGGAUGAUGCAGGAUGAAGCUGAUACUGGGACGAUGGAAGAUAGUCUGUACACUGCUGCAGAGCAUCUUCUCAUGCUGAUUGUUGGGAUCUUCUAGCAACAAGAUUUAAAACCAGCAAUCAGAAUCAAGCACGGCGAACAACUGAUGAGUUGGAAAAAUUAUCAUUGGGAUUAGAAGGUCAGUGCUGUGUGAAACGUUACUCUGUUUCCUUGUUUGAUCUUGGAAAGCAUCUUAUACCACUCUAAUAAUAACUCUUAUUUGUUGAGGGACAAGUUUAUUUUCUAACCACUCCAAUAUUUUUAAAAAGCACCAAAGUGUCUCUCGGAUGGUGCUCGCCGCAGCCAAGUCCUCGAGGUCAAAAGAAUCGAAAAAUUAAACGUUGAGCUAACAAAGUAUCUACAGAAUCAGAUAGUGGCAAUUAUACUUUACGAACAAAUAGAAGUUAAUUAGCCGAUCCAAUAGAUUAUCAUUGAAGGCAACAUGUCCAUUUCACUACAAAAUAGUUUUAUCUGCAUGCUAUACAAACUCCCAGGAGUACUAAGACUGAUUAUCAAUCAUCCCAGCAAUACCUAAAGCAUUCUGAAAAAUCGUGCUUGUCUCACACGGCUACAUCUGCGCUUUGGAAAAAAAGUAUGCCUGACAAGGCUCUCUUUGAACCAGUGUUCAGUAAUGUCUGGAGACUGUGUUUCCCACUGAAAUUUCUCCAGUAACUUCCCGUUAUCAUCGUAGUGAAGUUGGUGUAAGAACGACUCCAAAUAGCAGACCAGCAUAUCGCUUUUAUCAGACAUAAUCGUACGAUACCAAUACUUUGUGGUUGGCAAAUCGAUCUGACACUUAAGUGACCAGGCCUCUCGCUCGUAGUCAUGCAGUACCCAUAUUUGCAUAACCCCCUCGUUCGUAUCUAAGCACCUCAUGCCAAGCAUGCCUUCCAUCUGAAACAAAACCCGAAAGCCUCUAACGUUGUCCGGAGAGGUCAUAAACCUAAAUGACUCUUCCAGUAUGUCAAAAACAAAUACUCUAUCGCUUGAGCCGCGGUUCCAAGGGCUGCGGUUCCAAUCUAUUGAGCGGUUCCAGUGAAGGCAACCCUUAAGCAGAACAGGUGGACUCCACCAGCAUGGAUUCAUUCCAGCCUUCAUCACCGCCUCCUUUAUGCAAGCGGAGGCAGCUGGCAGCCCCAAGUAUUUCGGCUUCUGGGAGGAGCCCACUGUGAGGACGUAGUAGCCAGCAUUGCGAACCUCAUGCUUACCCCUCCAAAACAGGAUGCGGUACUCAUCGGAACGGCUUGGGCUUGGGUACAUCCCCGCGAUGUUGCCACUAGCCCCGGCUAGGCGAGGGAGCGCCAGCCACUGGCGUGUGGCUGGGUUGACGAUGCUGAAUCGGACGUAGUUCAUUAGGGAGAGCAGGAGAAGGCCGUCGCACGAGGCACAUAUACUGAAUGUUUGACCA